rnacentral:lncRNA from 1 species
CGGAGAAAUUCGUCGGAGGUUCGAUACGAUUUUAAGCACACGAGCGAAUUUGGGCAGCCCUUCGGGAUGUUGAAAAGAGUGGUUUAUGAGAAUGCUAAGAUGAGCGAGGCUUGGUUGGGUGGAACGAAGCUUCGGGGUUUAAAACCUUGUAUAUAUCGGAAUAUAUGAAGAAUCGAAGGUUUUAAAGAUGAAGUAGAAGAAGUGGGCACUUGAAUAAACUUUGGGAGAGUGUUUCUUCUCUAAAAU